GACGAACGCUGGCGGCGUGCUUAACGCAUGCAAGUCGAACGGGAGUAUUGAAGAAGCUUGCUUUAGAGAUACUUUAGUGGCGGACGGGUGAGUAACGCGUGAGGAGCUGUCCAAUGCAGGGGGACAACAGUUGGAAACGACUGCUAAUACCCCAUAAGCCGAGAGGUAAAAGGAUUUAUCCGGCAAUGGAGGUACUCGCGUCCUAUCAGCUAGUAGGUGAGGUAACGGCUCACCUAGGCGAAGACGGGUAGCCGGCCUGAGAGGGCGAACGGCCACACUGGAACUGAGAUACGGUCCAGACUCCUACGGGAGGCAGCAGUGGGGAAUAUUGGGCAAUGGGGGGAACCCUGACCCAGCGACGCCGCGUGGGUGAAGAAAUCCUUCGGGAUGUAAAGCCCUGUUGUAUGGGAAGAGCGGAAGACGGUACCAUACGAGGAAGCCCCGGCAAACUACGUG
rnacentral:rRNA from 1 species